UGUGUGUGGGGGGUAGGGUUUGCAUCAGCCAUAUAGCUGGCAUAUGACCGAACACCCUUUGGAACCCCAAUCUUGAUCUCACCAGCAAACCACAAUGGACUAGACUCCCAGAGAGCAGGUACCAAGGAGCAGCUGUCCAGCCAGAAGAUACUGCACUGGAUGGAGGAUUCCUAGGAGGGAGGCUCAGUGUUCCGGGAACAUUGUCCCACUUGACAGGGAUGGCCUAGAGCAGCAGCCUAAUAUUUCAGGUUUUGCCUUGGGAACUGGAGAAAAAUUCAAAUGACUUGGGACAAUUCAGAAAUCUUCCAAGUUGAGAGAAGGAAAUUUGAAGAGAUUGGAAAAAG